rnacentral:rRNA from 1 species
UACGAAGGGGGCUAGCGUUGUUCGGAAUACUGGGCGUAAAGCGUGCGCAGGCGGCUUCUCAAGUCAGGGGUGAAAGCCCAGAGCUCAACUCUGGAAUUGCCUUUGAGACUGAGUGGCUUGAGUACGAGAGAGGUGAGUGGAAUUCCCAGUGUAGAGGUGAAAUUCGUAGAUAUUGGGAAGAACACGGUGGCGAAGGCGGCUCACUGGCUCGUAACUGACGCUCA